rnacentral:rRNA from 1 species
UACGUAGGGUGCAAGCGUUAUCCGGAAUUAUUGGGCGUAAAGAGCUCGUAGGCGGUUUGUCGCGUCUGCUGUGAAAACCCGAGGCUCAACCUCGGGCCUGCAGUGGGUACGGGCAGACUAGAGUGCGGUAGGGGAGAAUGGAAUUCCCGGUGUAGCGGUGAAAUGCGCAGAUAUCGGGAGGAACACCGGUGGCGAAGGCGGUUCUCUGGGCCUUACCUGACGCUGAGGAGCGAAAGCGUGGGGAGCGAACAGG